AACAAACGCUGGCGGCGUGCCUAAUACAUGCAAGUCGAACGGGUAGCAAUACCAGUGGCGCACGGGUGAGGAAUACAUAGAUAAUCUGCCUUCGAGUCGGGGAUAACCAGUCGAAAGAUUGGCUAAUACCGGAUAAGACCACAAGAUCUGCGGAUCUAGGGGUUAAAGGUUUUUCGCUUGAAGAUGAGUCUAUGCGAGAUUAGCUAGUUGGUGAGGUAACGGCUCACCAAGGCGACGAUCUCUAACUGGUCUUAGAGGAUGAUCAGUCACACUGGAACUGAGACACGGUCCAGACUCCUACGGGAGGCAGCAGUAGGGAAUAUUGCGCAAUGGGGGAAACCCUGACGCAGCGACGCCGCGUGAGUGAUGAAGGCCUUCGGGUCGUAAAGCUCUGUCGUAUGGGAAUAACACAAUGAAUGUACCAUGCAAGAAAGGAUCGGCUAACUUCGUGCCAGCAGCCGCCGUAAGA
rnacentral:rRNA from 1 species